UGUGUACUCCCUCCGUUCCAAAAUACUUGACUUCCAUUUGUCCAAAAAUGGAUGUACCUAUAUACUAAGACAUGUGUAGAUACAUAUAUAUUUUGACAAAUAGAAGGCAUGUAGUAUUGUGCAACGGAGGGAGUAGAAU
rfam:Triticum aestivum genome assembly, contig: Triticum_aestivum_CS42_TGACv1_scaffold_473692_6AL